AUUUUGGUUUGGUUUGGUUUGGUUCCGCUUUUACAUUUCUAGUAAUUCAAUUCUUGUUUUUUCAAUUUGGUUUGGUUUGUAACCGAACUGACCAAAUGAACACCCCUAGAGCCUACCAUUGUCUUGGGAUUUUUAAUUUUCAUGAAAAGUUUUUUCUCUCGCUUCAUGGGAAAAGUGUUUUGCUUUUGUCUUUUAAAAAUAUAUUUUUUAAUAUGUAAAUAAAAAAAUGCUUUUUAUUUUUUCUUAUAAAUUAGCAAAAAGCAAAAAAAGUUACCUUUUAGCAAUUAACCGAAUGCUACCUUAACGCUUUGCUUGAAUUUGGUGCAAUAUUUUUAGUUCAGAAUAAUUGCAUAUGUUAUUAUUACAUUGUUUUGCAUUAUAUUAAAAUUUAAUGCUUAAGAUAACUUACAUGAGAUCUUAUUA
rnacentral:misc_RNA from 1 species